GACGUAGGGCGCGAGCGUUGUCCGGAUUUAUUGGGCGUAAAGAGCUCGUAGGCGGCCGGUUGCGUCUGCUGUGAAAUCCCGGGGCUUAACCCCGGGCGUGCAGUGGAUACGGGCUGGCUGGAGGCAGGCAGGGGAGAAUGGAAUUCCCGGUGUAGCGGUGAAAUGCGCAGAUAUCGGGAGGAACACCGGUGGCGAAGGCGGUUCUCUGGGCCUGUGCUGACGCUGAGGAGCGAAAGCGUGGGGAGCGAACAGG
rnacentral:rRNA from 1 species